CCCCACCACAGAAAUACCUAUGACUGUAUCAAAGAUGGAAAAACCAAAUGCUCUGGUAUUCCUUCCAAUCUGGGACGAUACACUUAGCAAAAAUUAUAUCUGAAAUCUCCUUGCCCUUUUCUGUGACUUCUCUAGCUCUCCAUUACUUUCUUCUCCUCUUUUCUGGGCAAUACUCCAUCCUUGCCUCCAAGCUCCCUAGAACCUAGGUAUCAUAUCUUCAUCUCUCUCUCCUACCAGAAUCUUCCCUUUCUUCUGUCUUUUCUCCCAGGAGACUCAUGUUCAGCCCUGUAGCCUAUCCGCCCUUCUCAGCCCAGUGCUCUCCCCUCAGAGUGCAGUGCAGCCAUCUGCUCAGGAACCUGUGCUGAUGGGGUGGCAGUUGCUAAUGAGUUACUUGUUCAUCUCCUGGGUAACCUGUUUGCUUUUUAACUGGAGUGUUCUAGGGCCAGUGCCUGUGAGGGGAAGAGCUUUAGAAAGUCAGCCUGAGGGAGGGGCACUGUGUGGAGGGAAUUUCUUGGUCAAGUCCAAAGUUGAUCUGUCUAGUAUUUUCCAGGUCUCUGAAGCUCCAUCUGCCUCCAGAACUGAAAUCAAAGGUGAGGCAUAACCACCAGCUUGGCCUGAAUUUGAUACGUGUUUCAGAAGAGAGGACGUUCUUGCCACCCUUCUGUUACUCAGGCGGUCUCAAUCAGCUACCUCCUUGGGGUUAUAAUUCUGUUGGCUUUUUUUCCCAGUUGGUCCAGUGUUAUAAAUAAAAUUUCAGUGCUGCAAAAGAAAUAGCACUUGAAGAUAAAUCCUCUCAGCAAGGCAGUUUACUUCUAUAGAAGGGUGCAGCUCAUGGAUGGAACAAUGGUGACUGCACAUUUGGACAAGGGAGGGAAAGGGGUACUUAUGCCUGAUGGCGGUUGCCUCUACUGCUCUGUCAUUCCCCUAUUGGCUAGGGUUAGACCACACAAAUUAAUCCUGAUUGGCUACUUUAAAAAGAGCAGAGGUCCGAGCUGGAGUGGCAGGGUGGGUGGUUUGGUGGGAAGGGUGGUUAUGGGUGGGUCAGAGCAGGUAGCCAGGGGUCACGUAGGUCAAAGAAGGUGACCAGAGCAGGUGACUGGGAUGAAUCAGGAUGGAGCCUGGGGGCUGGGGGAACAAAUGUGAACUACUGAUUAGAACUGGUGGAGAAGUUGUUUACUGGAACUACAAGGAAGUUAAACUUUAAAACAGAGAAUUAAAGAAUAAGAGAGCUGAACAUACCUACAUACAGAUUCUUUGAAGAGAAACUUCGGGUUCACUAUAUCUAAAACCAGGAAGGGAAAUGACAUGAUGAAGGCAGGAAGACAGGAAUACUUUCCUCUGCUUUUCCCAUGAUCUUUGCAUGUGAAUGGAAACCUGUUUACCGUCACUUAUUACCACCCGCCUCUGCCCCUUGGUAUUUUGGCCUCAUUUACAGUGGGGAUUAACAUGGUCUAGAGGCAUUUUGCUGGGUUCCUUUGUCAUAAUCUAAAAAUAAACAAAGCCCAAAGGAUCCAUUUCUUCUUCCCAUUAAUUUGAAGAAAGGCAGAUGGUGCCCAAUAACCUGAUUUGAAUUGCCAAUAAAGCUCAUCAUCUUUUUACUAGGCUUGCCAUUAAAUUUUAACAGAGGGUGUCAGUGGUGCAGAAUGAGCUCCAAGAAAGAUUAUUCAGGGCCCUUGGGGUGGAAGAGUGAACAGUCAGUCUGUGUCCACACAGCCUCCCUGAGGAGGAGGAGAUUUGGGGCCAUGAGAGAGGUUGGGGAGGGUUCUGAACUGUUGAGACUGAAGGGAAAAUGUGGCAAAAAGGGGUGAGCUGGCAGGAAAGUGCUAUUUUUCAAGAAGUUUGACACCCAUCUUAUAAAUUUGAGGGCACCAACCAUGUCUCACCUAUUGCUACUUUCCCACUAAAAUUAGGUGUUUGGAGGGCAGUCACUAAAGGCUGGCUGAAGGAGCGAUGAAAACUUUUGAUGGAUGGAAAGCAUAAAUCACAGUGAAGAGGGAAGAAAAUACAACCAAGAGGCACUAAACUACAUGGAUAUAAGCUUGAAGCUGCAGGUGGCCGUAAACUCUUGAGGAGUUCCUGGGCCUGAAAACGAAGGCAACGUAAAGGAAAACAAAAGUGAGACAGAGAGAGAGAGAGAAAUUCCUUGAACAUGGUGCCUGAAGGUAGAUUUGCCCCUGGAUGUUUCAGUCCAAUGAGCCAGUAAAUUCCCUCUUUUGCUUAAGUUGAUUUUAAUUGAGUUUUGUCACUUGCAGUCAGAAAUGUCCUAACUAACACAGUCACCUUGAUACUCAGGGUGACAGGCCGAGAGAGGAGAAAGAGACACCUGCAAUAUCGGGAGCAAAUUCAGUGAGCAAUAGCAUAGAACCUGUUGGGUUUGGAUAGUCCCAACAAAUAAAGGAGAAGAGGAAUUAGACAUCUUGCUCCAACUUUAGCAGUAGUACUUUGUUACAGCUAAAAUACAGCUGAGCAGGUAAUGCUUGACCUAUUAUAGUCAUAAUAACUGUGGUGGGGAGGGUUUGGGAAAGCAGAAUCCUCAGGCAAUUGGCAUCAGAGUCAUCCAGGGAGGUUUCUUUUCUAAAAAAAUUUAGAUUCUAGGGCUUUACCCAGACCUGUUAUUCAGAAUUUGUGAAUAGAGGCCUGGAGUUUGCUUUCCUAAAAGAUUCCUAGGGUAUAGAGUUUGAGGUUCACUCUCAUAGUAAUGAGAGCUCAGACUUAGAAAUUAGAAGCUUUGGCUUUAAGUCUAGUCUCUGCCACUUACUACCUGUAUGACCUUGGGCUAAUAACCUUCAGUGUCAGCUUUUUCAGCAGUUAAUAAUGCCUCAUAGGGUUGCGAGAAUAAGUAAGAAAAUGUAUUCAUGUAAAGUAUUUACCCUGCUGCUUUUUUAUACGGGAAAAUUUUAGUGACUAUGGUUAACAAAACCUACAACUAUAAAAGAAGGGAGCAGACUUAAGAAAAUGCAAAUGGAACAUAUAAGCAUUGCGUUUGAAUCGUGGUGCUCCUCGGAAUCUGUGACGUAGCGCGCAUAGUGGUUUAACACUGGAGUCUCUAGAGUAGGAAUGUCUGAAUCAAAUUCUGGUUUUGCCACUUACCAGCUGUAUGACCACUACUGAGCUGCUUGUGCCUUUGUUUUGUUCAUCUGUAAAAUGGGAUAAUACUGGUACUUAAUUCACCACUUUUUUGGGGUAAUGAUAAAAUAAGAUAAUAAAUGAGAAGGGCAUGGAUGAUACUAGUUUUAUUAUGAUCGUUUUCUUCUUUUCCAAUUACAUUAAUUCUUUUCCCUUGUGGUUAACCCCCACAUAGCCUUAUUCCUCUGAGACCAUCUCCCAGUGGCCCCUGCCCUUUUUGUUAAAUAAAGAACUUAGAUUCAGAGAGGGCCUCCACGUCCAGCCUUGAACUUGAGUUGAAUCUCCCUAGAGAGGGCCCCAGGCUGGGGAAUGGUGGAGAUGCCUGCUUUGUGCUAUGGAGCCCUGGUUUUUAUGCUGACAGCCUACAUGCUUGGAGAAGUGUCUGGAACUUCAAGUUGACAUUUGCAAAGUGUCAAAGCCCUUGAGCAUUUCUUUUCUAACCAAGCCCUAGGAAACCUCAGGGUCCAAUGUAAAGCAAAUGUAGAAAAAGCAACUGUCUUUGGGCUGUAAGUCAUGCUGAUGGAUAUAGCACUUCAGUCCUGCCUACUAUAUCCUUGUAGGUAUUGAACAUUUAAGGAUCUGUUCAAUACAACUUUUCAAGUGAAAACAAAAAUAUCAGCAAUCCUCAUAACAACAAUAUAAUUGCAGGAGCAAAAUGGCGAUGUUUGGCGGUGCUGCAAAAGUGCUUGGAAGAAUUUGAGGAAAUAUCUGUUCCUGAAAUACAAGUUGUGCCUCAUCUUCCUCAUUUAUUAAAUUAAAACAUAAUCUUUAAUGUUGCUUUUAAUCUGGAUUAUUUAAGAUUCUUAGAUUCAAGAUUCUAUGACGUUAUCCAAAGGCACUUCUCUUAGGAAGUCUCUCUGUUCCAGCUGAUUUCCAACAGUGGGAGGUGGGAUGGGUGACAUCUGCGGAUAAAACCAGGCUGUACUGUUGAACAGUUGGCAAAUCCAAGUGAUUCUCUUCUCCCUGGAAUGGGUGCAGGGUUGCAUAUUAAUUUACAAUUACUCAUAAAGUAGACAGCAAAGGCUUCUCUUUUGUCAACACUUAGACAUACAAAUUAGGUAAUAUUGAAUGGGCAAUGAAUAUUUCAUUUCCACCUUGCCUCCUGGUGCCAAUCACUAUAAAUGAGGCUAGAUUAAUAUCCGAAGUGACUCACACUCUGUUAGGUAUCCAAGUCUAGGCCCCUCAGACUCACUCUAUUUUGACCUUAAUUUGUCAGCUGAAUUUUGUUAGUGACUAUGCAAGACAGAAAGAAACAGGACCACAUAGUUUACCUCAACUUUAUACUGGACAUGAACUGCAGUGUUUCAAAGUGAUCUUUGGUUCUGAUAAUCUGGCAGAGCAAACUUGUAGAAAGGAUGAAUAAAAAAUAGAAAUAGAAUUUUUAAAAAUACUGUGGCAUAAAAGAAAAAAAUCCCCAGGUACAAGAAUUGAAGAGAGAAAUCAAAGCCAGGACAGUAAUGGAGAGUUGGUAUUUCAGCAAAAUUUUCUAACCCAGAUAUAAGCCCUAAGAGCUGAAGGUUGGGUAUUUAACACCCACUGGAGUACAGGAAAUGUGGCCUCAAGCCCUUGCUAGGUAGGGAAAAUAGAACUGAGCCUCAGCAUAAAGCCAUGAGCCUUGAAACGAUGCAUUGUCUGUUGGAUGGUGACUACAAAAACUGCACAUCUGAGUCCAGGAAAGAAGCAAGUAAGCUUGCCGCCCAUCUAGAACCCCAGUUUAAAAAAAGAAAAAGAAAAAGCUGUGUCCAAAAAAUCAAAACCCCAGGUCUGGGCCACAUAUGGGCAUGGUGUCUAAAUGUAUACCAGUGAUAAGUUAGCACAGAUUGCCUGUGUCUGUGAAAACCCUAGGAUAUAAUAGGGGCAAUUGUGAAACAGCAUUGUUGGGACAUUUUUACAAAUCAGGUAAUGAAGGAUUCAGAGCCGGAGAUUUACCAUCAUAAGGAAGAAUUACAAGAUGCCUCAAAAGGAUGAUUAGCACCUUAAAGAUUCAAAAUAAUAGACUUAUCUUUAUGAGACUAUAAAAUAAGAGCACUUUAAAUUAUUAAAGAUAGAAGAAGUAGUAUGAUACAAAAAGCAGAAAAUUGAAAAGAAAUAUAUAAAUAGUACUUAGUUUGCCCAGCACUGAGGGAUUUCUUAGGAGACAAAAUUCUCAGUACUAAGGGACACUCUCAGGCAAAGCAAGUGGUGGCCAGGUUACUUCCACUGGGUAACCAAAGAGAUUGAAAUGAAGAGACUGUUUACAAACAUGUGGACAGAGUUUGGGGAAACCAGCAAGGAACAAACAAUAUAACAACAGGGAGCCAUUACUACCGAACGUGCGACAGAGGAGAGUGCGGAGACCCACAUCGUGAGCUUUUGUUCCCUCACUAUCCUCAAGUCUGAAGGGGCAAGGAGACGGUGCCGUUACUGAAACUCAGAGAAAUAAGCUCCAUGGAGCAGCCCUUAAUGGAAAGAAAUGGGAAAGAAGCAAGGAGAAUAAGCACACCAUUUUCACUCUCCUCCUGCCUUCCCUCUGAACGAGUUGGGAGCUCCCGGUGGUGAGCCUCAGCUAAAAGUCAGAAAGCAAAGAAGUUCUUUGACCUAGUCUACAUAGGCCAGCCUCCUGAAACACAGGUCAAGAAGGGUGCAGAAUGGAUCUGGAAGGGCAAAAGAAAAAUAAUCAGGACAAAGGCACAAUGAAAUUGACCUUCUGAAUACCUAUAUAUAAAACCUUGCAAGUUAAAGCAGGUGGUGCAAUACCAGAAUUAGGAGGAAAAUACCAGGAAGUUAGAAGAGCUGAGCCCUGGUGGCACCUUUGGUAUUUACAAUCAGUGUGACUUUGAGAAAGUAUCUCUGUUUACUCAAACUUCUUUAUUAUUAAUUAAGAAUGAGGCUGGGCAUGGUUGUUCAUGCCUGUAAUACUAGUACUUUGGGAGGUCGAGGAAGGUGGAUUACUUGAGCUCAGGAGUUUGAGACCAGCCUGACAAGAUCCCAUCUCUACACACACACACACACAAAAUUAGCCAGACCUGGUGGCACACACCUGUAGUCCCAACUACUUGGGGGGCUGAGAUAGGAGAACUGGAUGCGCCUCUGGAGAUCAAGGCUCCAGUGAACCAUGAUUGUGCCGCUGCACUCCAGCCUGGGUGACAGAGUGAGAUGCUGUCUCAAAAAAAAAAAAAAAAAAAAAAACAGUGAAAUUAUUCUAGAACAGAAGUCUCACACUGGAAACCCGUGGAUCAAAUCUUAGUGGAGUUGUAUAUUGUUUAGUCUAUAGAAUGUUUUAGACUAAAUCUGAAUAAUUCAAUAACAUUGAAAAAUUCAGGAAAAUUCAUAAAAUAAUGUGGAUUUCUAGCUUUCUUUGUGUUUGGUUUGGCAACAAUUGUCUAAAGGCAAGACCCUCAUUCCCAGUUCUACACCGACCAUCCCUCCUGGCUCAUUCCACUUAUUUGUUACCUGUGUACUCCCUGUAGGAAUUGGAAUUUGCAACCUUGAAUAGCUCUUUCAGCUUUCAGGUUUAACAAUCUGUGAAAUUUAAGGCACCACUGUAGUUUCUGCCUAUGAACAAGGGCUUUCUGAGUUUUUAAUUGAGGUGGAUUGGGAAGUCGGCAGGUGGCUGUUUUUGCAUAUCUUCCUUUACAUCUUAAACACAGCACAUAUGCAGUUUUAUGAAGCAUAUGGUUUUCCAUGUGCAUGACUACACUUUGUUGAUUUUUCCUUUUCCUAAGUUCUCCAAAAGCCCAGUAGAAUAAACACAAGCUGCCACUUGGGAAAACAAUUCUGAAGAAAAGCCCAGCUGGGGAAGAAAAAGUAAGGCAAUCCAAAAAGCUGCCAAGUGACCACAUGUUUAGUGUAAGUUUUUGCAGUUCACAAAAACCAUGACUCUUUUCUCCCCGUGGCAUGAUAUAUGAUGAGCAUGUUGUAAAACAGCUCAUGGUGACAUUGCCUUUGCUCUUUGGGCUUGUGGCAGGGAAUGGGUAAAAAAGGCAAAUUCAACCUCUGGCAGACCUUGAUUGGAAACGUGAAUAUUUUACCUGGUGAUGAGCCCUGGGUUUUAAAUCAGCCGACAGCCAUGACAAGAGAUGACAGAAAAAAGGGGGAAUUUUUUCCAGGCUUGGAGAAAGAUAAAUCUGAAAAGGAGUUUUUCCCUGUAGACCACCUCUGCUUAUGAGAUGCUCACAGUGAGUUGUCAGAACAGAGAACCUUGAGGUAAGCAUUAAUAAGAAUUGCACUAACUUUCCCUGAGGGACCAAGAAACUGGGAUUCUCUAGCCAACAUUUUGUCCUGAGAACCACUACUCAUCCAGGUCCAUGGAGGAUUUUCCCCUCAGCCCAUCCCUCUGGGCUUACCUUGUACAUAGUUUCAGCUACUGCUGGAAAAUAACUCAGCCAAAGAAUUAGUGUUGAAAUAGAUGCUCCUAACUCCUUUGCUAGAAUAAACAAGGAUUGUGGGUUGAAUAUAAAUUAUUAAAAUGUGUUAACUUUCUUCUGGACAAGUCUGGUGCUAGUUAUCACCUUUGCCUCCAGGAAAGGUAAAUGUGUUGUGUGUGCUGUGGGCUGAACUGGCACCUGACAAAAUUGUUAAGUAGCAAAGCUUGUCUUGAGGACUCCUCUUCUAGAACAUCCCCUAUUCCCCUCUGGAGUCUCUUUUGCCACCCACCAUUUCCACUCCUGUGUCUUUCUGAACACCUGACACCUCCUAUUAGCUUUAUGUGCCUGUCUCUUCUCCAAGCGCAGCUGUCCCUCAGCCCCCACCAAGGCUCCCUUCUCCUCUGUGCCACUACACCAAUAAGAUUUCCUGAUGGGUAGGAUAUAAUUUAGUAUCCAAAACUGGACAAUUUUGAGAGUAAAAGAGUGCUGAACUAUUAAAAAUAGUCAUAGUCUUUUUAGGCCACUAUAAUAAAAUAGUAUGGACUUAGUAGCUUAUAAGCAACAGACAUGUAUUUCUUAUAGGUCUGGGGCCUGGGAAGUCUAAGAUUAAUAUGGUGGCAGAUACAGUGUCUGGUGAGGGCCUGCUUUCUGAUCAUAGAUGGUGCCUCCUCCCUGAGUCCUCACAUGGUGGAAGGGGCAAACAAGCCCCCUUGGGCCUCUUUUAUAAGGAAACAAUCCCAUUCAUGAGGGUGGAACCUCACAAAAUGCCCCACCUUCUAAUACUAUCACUUUGGGGGCUAGAAUUUCAACCUAUGAAUUUUUAGAGGGACAUAAACUUCACAGCAUGUCAUUAUACCUACAUGACAACAUUUUAGUCUACCCCCCCAGAGUAUAUUUGUAUUUCCACAGGGAUCUUCUAAUGAUAUUUUGUUUUGACCUAGAAAAAGACUCCUAAGGUUGAAGAUUUUGAUGUUCUGACAUAAUCACAGCAAAAGCCAUCUCCCAUGUAACCACAUGUUUCAGGAGAAGCUGACCCUACAGCCAACUCCACUGGUAUGAGGUUGAAACAAUCUUUGAUGGCCAAGUGAAGAGAUGGAAAAAGCAGGAUUCAGGAUAACUUCGGAAUUAUCGGAUGAGUAAAUUGGAACAUGGUGGCCAUGUGGCCUGCUGCCCCUGUGUACCACUUGGAGACCAGCCUGGCAUGGAAAUGACCAGAUGUUGGAAGCUGAGCUGUUGGUGAGUGAAAUGAAUAAGUUAGCUGUUCCACUUCCCAUCUGCAUGGACAGCUUCUGCAUUGCAAAACUACCGGUGCUUGUCAUUUCACAUGGCAGCAGUUAAUCUCUUAACCCCUUCCUAAACUUGGCAUUGGAAAGCCCUCGAUGGCCAAUUAGGCUGUGUGGGUAUAUGUACACUAGUGCCCAUCUGCCACAGGAAUAGAAGCAGUGGCACAAUUCAGAUCACUACCAAGAUACACAGAUGCUCCUGGAUCUGAGGAAGUGACCUAUAGAAAAUGAAGAAUGACCAGAUAAAGGCAAUAAGAAUGGAAGUAGAGGGGCUUAUUAAGCAGCUCUGGAUAAGCAGAGAAAGGACGAUGGUUCUAUAGGUAGAAUUUGCCAAAAAUGGGCUUGUUUCACAGGUUAUUUGAACACAGAAGCAGGGCUUUUUUCUCUCUCCAUUCAUUAAUUAUUUUUCUGAGUAGACUAAUAAUACAUGCUUUUUGUGAAACAGUUGAAAAGUGGAAGAAAGUAUAAGAAAAAAAUUAAAAUCACCUAUACACUUAUCUCCUCAUAUUUCAGUAUAUCUGUUCAAGCCUCUUUUUCUAGUUUUGUGAUCAUUUUUUUCAGUCAACAAAUAUUUAUUUCCACAAAUAUUUAAUGCCUUCUGUAUGUGUCAGACACCAUGCCAGGCACUAAGAAUAUACUUGUGUUCAAUAAUUUGCAUAAUUCCUUAUCUCCUAGAACUUUGAGUCUAACAGAAGUGACAUAUGAACACACAACUGCAUUAAGAAUUGUUUAAUCUCAAAUUUGAAAACCUCAGCAAAGAACAAGUAUGAAGUCUUGGAAGAAUGGGGCAUCCUAACCUAUCCUGGAUGUAGGGAAUUCACCUAAAAGAAAAACUCUGAAGGUGAGACUGGAAUAGUGAGAAACUGCUGGCCAGAGGGCAAUGUGCUGGUCCUAGAAGGGUAGAGUAGGGCAGGCUGGGAAUAGAAAGGAAAAUUGCUGGUUGGGGAAUAGCUUGCCUGAGGUCUUAAGGAGGAGACAGUGACUAGUUGGGGGUGAAGUGGCUUUGUGGAAAUUAGGAAGAAAAAUAGGAAGCAGAUACUACAGGACAAGUAUUGACAAGCAACAGCCCAGGGGCCAAAUCCAGCACCCCACCUGUUUUUGUGAAUAAAAUUUUAUUGGAACAGAGCCACACCCAUUGAUUUAUAUAAUGUCUGUGGUUGUUUUCACACCACACUGGCAGGGAUGAAUAGUUGUUUCAGAGACUGUAGGGUCCACAAAGCUUAAAGGAUGUACUAUCUGACCUUUCCCAGAAAAUUUUGCUGACCCCUGCUAUGGGGUUUUGUGGUUGAGCAUAUGGUGGAAUUAUUUUACCACAAGAACAAUGGGAAAACUUUGAGAGGAAAGCAAGGAAGAAAUCAUCAGAGUUUUCUUUUAAAAGAACUCUAGCUACAGAAGUGUGUAGAGAUUAGAACUGGAGAUUCUGGAUGGAUAUCGGACACCUAAGAGUAUCCAGGAUACAGGGGUUGGUGGUUUGGACUCAGAUUGUGUCAAGUGAGCACAGGAAAAAGAGACAGAUUUGAGGUCUCUUUAGCAUUUGUAUGGGACAGGACUUGGUGGCUGAUUGGGAAGGGGAAGCAAGGAUAGAGAGGUGUUCAGGAACACCCGGGUUUCUGCCUGGUGCAUCUGCAUGGAUGAGGGUAUCAUCAACCACACUGGGAGCUGUGGAGGAGAAGCAAGAUUGAGAGGGAAAGUCCGGAGCUUUUAGCACCUGUCUAGUUCAAUCAGAAUGGGUAAUAUAAUAAAUCCCUAUUAAUGGACAUGUAGAUUGUUUCUAUUAUUUUUCUUUUUCUUUUUUUUUUUUUGAGACGGAGUUUCACUCUCGUGACCCAGGCUGGAGUGCAAUGGCGCAAUCUCGGCUCACCGCAACCUCCGCCUCCCGGGUUCAGGCAAUUCUCCUGCCUCAGCCUCCCGAGUAGCUGGGAUUACAGGCAAGCGCCACCAUGCCCAGCUAAUUUUUUGUAUUUUUAGUAGAGACGGGGUCUCACCAUGUUGACCAAGAUGGUCUCAAUCUCUUGACCUCGUGAUUCACCCGCCUCGGCCUCCCAAAGUGCUGGGAUUACAGGCUUGAGCCACCGUGCCCGGCCCUAUUAUUUUUCUUUUUAAAAUAGUGCUGUGAUGCAGUAAAAGGAAUAGUCAGAAGAGUAAACAGGCAACCCACAGAGUGAGGGAAAACUUUACAAUCUAUACACCUAACAAGGAACUAAUAUCCAGAAUCUACAAUGAACUCGAACAAAUCAGUAAGAAAACAACCAACAAUCCCAUCAAGAAGUGGGCUAAGAACAUGAAUAGGCAAACCUCAAAUGAAGAUAUGCAAAUGGCCAACCAAUAAAUGAAUAAAGUGCUCAAAAUCACUAAUGAUCAGGGAAAUGCAAAUCAAAAGCACAAUGUGAUACCCCCUAAUUCCUGCAAGAAUGGCCGUAAUAAAAAAAUCAAAAAACAAUAGAUGUUGAUAUGGAGACGAUGAACAGGGGACACUUCUACACUGCUGAUGGGAAUGUAAACUAGUACAACCACUAUGGAAAGCACUGGAGAUUCCUUAAAGAACUAGAAGUAGAACUACCAUUUGACUCAGCAAUCCCACUGCGGGGUAUCUAUUAUUCAAAAAAUACACUUGCACACACAUGCUUCUAGUGGCAUAAUUCACAAUAGCGAAAUUGUGGAAGCAACUUGAAACCCCAUCAAUCAGCGAGUAGAUAAAGACACUGUAAUAUAUACAUACACAAUGGAAUACUAUGCAGCCAUAAAAGGGAAUGAAUUUGCAGUUCCCUUUUAUGGCUGCAUUUGCAGGGACCCGGAUGAGACUGGAGACUAUUAUUCUAAGUAAAGUAACUCAGGAAUGGAAAAGCAAACAUCGUAUGUUCUCACUAACAUGUGGAAUCUAAGCUAUGAGGACGCAAAGGCGUAAGAAUGAUACGAUGGACUUUGGGGACUUGCGGGGAAGAGUAGGAGGGGGUGAGGGAUAAAAGACUACAAAUAUGGUGCUGUGUAUACUGCUUGGGUGAUGGGUGCACCAAAGUCUCAUGAGUCACCACUAAAGAACUUACUUAUAUAAGCAAAUACCACCUGUAUCCCAAUAACUUAUGGAAAAAUAAAAUAAAACAAAAAUAAUGCUGUGAUGAAUUCAUUUGUGCACAUAUCUCAUGGUUUCCUUAGACUGUAAUCCUAAAAGCAGAAUGGCUGGAUAAAAGACUAUGUACAUUUUUCAGCUCUUUGAGCUAUAUUACUAAAUUGUCCUCCAGAAUAUUAUUUCAAUUUAUACUUAGACCAGUGUGUGCUGCUGUAGCCAUUUUUGGUUCAGUAGACACCAAACUGCCGUAGGGUUGGGUGUCAGCAUCUGUCCUAUGUCUUUAAAAACAAAACAACACUUUUGCUUCCAGCUCAAGGUAUUAAUGCUUAAAAGAUUUUCCGUGUUCGAAAGGAUUUUUGUGGUGCUGGCCUGUCAGUUGACCUUUUUGAGGUGGAUAAGAAACAUUCUUCGAAACUGUGGUUGUCAUCCAAGGUAGGAAUUCUGGCACAAGAAGCUUUCCAGUUCCAUCCCUCCUUGGUGUAAUAGAAGGUAACUUACAACCCGAGUCACAUUAAGCCCCUAAUAUAUGUGACCUGGUGUUCCAGACCACAUCUUCUGUCUCCAGAGAGGGUUUUGUUUUUUGUGGCACAUCGAUCUCCCAUCACACUCCAUAGCCACACUUCACAGUCCACAGUUUCAGCAGCUAGACUAAAAAAGCCUUUUGGCACAAAGCAUAGGUUUCCAGCAUCAGGGAAGCCUUCUGGGGUGACCAUGUAGGGAAAGGGAGGUCUGGUGUUGAAGCCAGGCAGCCUUGGACAUGAAUCCCAGUUCUAUCUAUUGCUGGUUUUCUAUCUUGUGAGGUCAUGUAACUGCUCUGCCUUCACUUUCUCGUCUGUAAAGUGGAAAUUUUUUGUAGCUAGCUCAGAAAUUCUUGGGAAGAGUAGUGACAUGGCCCAGCAGAUGCUGAGUCUAGUCCCUAGCACUGAGCAGGUAUUGGAUAAACAGUGCAUUACUGAAAAAUGAAGCUGGAGAGUGGGAGAGGGUCUGCGGAAUUUGAGGGACUUCUGCCCUCUGCACUUCAGCUCUAUAAACUCUGAGACCCUAUAGUCUCAGAGUUAAUCACAACUUAAUACACCAAAUUAAUCACAGCUCUUUAUUUAAGAAGGAAGAAAUCAUGGUGAGUUUAAUUUUCCAAUCUCAUUUUAUGUGGUCAGCUCUCAAGUAGAGGAAGAUAAUCAUGGGAGAGGUAUGCUGCAGGGCCUGUCUUCUGCAGGUGUCUUUCUCACUAGCUGAAUGUACCACCUGAAACUUACAGCAUGCAUCUUGUUAUUGCUAAGAGGCCCUUGUGAAAAUACAGAUAUCUUCAAUGGAAGCUGUUAGAUGUUAACACAGACUCUGGAGUCAGAUGACCUGGGGAUAAAUUCCAUCUCCCCCACUUGUUAACUAUGUGACUUUGGACACGUUACUUCACAUCUCUGUGUCUCAGUUUCUUUACUUGAACAAUGUAAAUAGUAGUGUUGAGGGAAGAAUAGAUGAGAUAAUGUCUGGGAAGUUAUAAGUGCUCAAUUAAAGUUAACUAUUGUUAGUAGCUAAUACUAACCCUGAGAAGAAGGGGUAGGUGGUGAUAUGACUCCACUGAGAAUAAACUUAAGUUUCUCCUUCAACCAGGUGAGUUUCCAUAGGCUUUGCAAAAUAGAUGCUAUUUCACAGAUGAGGGCAACUAAACCUCAGAGAGAUUAAUUGGUUCUGAGUCACACAGCUUCAUCAGGAUGCCCUGAAGAAAACAGGAUAUAAUGCAUACCCUCCUUUAGCUGUGCCCCCAAUAACCUCCUGAAUAAUUUCUGGCUUCCUAAGAGAGAGCUAAUAGUGGUAGCCCCUGAAAUCCACCUGCACCCUCUCCCUGAGGUAGUCUGUAGUGGACAGCUCCCGAAUGCUUUCCAUUUUGAGGAAAGACAGCCUGAAGAUCAACUUGCAAAACCAAGGUCAGAUGCCAAACCCAGAGGCCAUAUGGAUGUCACACCUCGGUUCUUAUGGUGAUGACUUGGCAUGUAGAGAUGAAAAAAAUCAUCUCCAAGACGACGUAGGUGACUUAUUUACAGAUGAUUAAUCCCAUUGUAGACCACUGCCGAAUCAGCUUCUGGCCUCACGCCUGGUGACAUGGGGAAAAUACCACUGCUUCCGCGUCUUGGGUACAUUUCCAUCUGCCGGGCAUUCUCUGGGUUCUUGGGAGAGGUGAGUCAACAGUCUGUCAAUACUAUGGAUUUAGUGUCUUGAUGUGGGUUCUAAUGAGAGAGUUCUUAUAACGUUUCACACAUUCCCACUCACACUAGCCACAAUGGUAAUAUCAAACCCAGAGCCCAGAAACAGGAACUUGCUUUCUCCCAGCUUUAGAUUUCCCCCUAAUAUGAUCAGAGAAUUCUUGUUUCAUUCAACAUGUUGUUCAUUAGUGCCUACUCUGCAGCAGACACUGCCCCAGAAUAGAAGAACGUACACUUACAGAAAAUUUGCUAUGAUCUUGAAGAAACGGAGCUCAGACAAUAAUUCCAAUAAUAUCUCCUGUUUAUGAAGUAUUUACUGUGUGCUAGUUACUGUACCAGGAAUGUCACAGUUUAUCCUCCCCAAAGCCGUUGGCUGGAGGUCCUAUGGUUAUCCCUAUUUUUCUCUUAGUGAAGACAAAACACAAAGAGGUUAAGAAGCUUUCCCAGGAUGGCACAGCUGGGCAAGUGGCGGAGUUGACUUUACCCAAGUACAGUCGUUUCUCAUUAUUUGUGGCAGUUAUCUUCUGUAAAGUGGCUAUGAGCACUGAAUAAGUGAAUAUUAAACAGUUGCUCCUAGAGGAAAUACAUGGUUAGAUUCCUUUGAGCCUCCAGUCAACAUGUAACCUGUUUUAACUGUGUUUUGUUUAAACACAUCUUAUUCAAUAUGUACUUUUGACUCAUUAACAUUGAACGUAUAGCCAACAGCACUGUGACCCAUGCCCAAAUGAAGCUCCUCUUACACAUAUGUUUUGUCUGUAAGGCCCAAAUGAAGCUCCUCUUACACAUAUAUUUUGUCUGUAAGGCACACAGCAGCCUUCUACUUAGGAUCACUUCAGCACUAUGCUUUGGGACCAUUUUAAACCGCAAAAUCACCAAUCUAAAGCAUAAAAAUGAGAAAAAAUACAUGGGACACUAAAUAGACCACAAAAGGGACACUUGUUCUCAGUCUGAGUGCUGAAACGAAAAAGCAGAGGAUCACAUUGUUGUCCCACCUCAGCUAGGAAUGCUUGUGUUGAGUGUUGAGUGACUCAACUGCUCUAAGAAUCCUGCAAGUGAACACAAAUGUGCCAGGAGUGUUGAUUUGAAAGUUACAAAUAAAUUUUAGCCUGUAGGGAAAUUUCAUUCAUAAAGAGGAUUGACUACAGUCUUAUUCCAGAGCAUGUUUUUACUCUUCUUCACACUUUACCCUGUUGUGGUCAGCAGCCUCUAAGAUCUUCCUGAUGAAUGAAAACCAGGAGAAGCCCACCUCCUGGUCUUCAUUCCCUUGAUAACAUCCUUGGUAAUGCCAGUGCCCUCGAGUAUGUGCCAGACUAAGUGACUCAUUUCUAAUGAAUAGAAUGUGGUAUAAGUUCAUAGAAUAUCACUUUUAAGGUUCAAUUACAAAAAAAACUAUAACUUCCAUCUUGGACAUUCUUUCUCUUUUGUCAGUUCUCUGGGAAGCUUGCUGUCAUGUUUUGAGCUGCCCUAUGGAGAAACCAACAUGACUAGGAAUAUGAGAGAGCCAGCAGGACAAUGAGGCCCUCAAUACAGCAAGAAACCAAAUUCUGCCAACAACCAUAUAAAGCAACUGUUCAUCAGAGAGGUGGAGUAACUUGACCAAGUUCUCAGAUUCUAAAGACCAGGACUCCUCAUGAAUCUGUCAGCUCCCCUCAUUCCAGCUCUGGGUCUCUGUGUCACCACCACUGCCACCUCGUCAUUAUCCUAUUUCAUGCCUGUCACUGGACUAAAAACCUUACAGUCUUUAUCACAUUUAAUUUUUCCAACGAUACCAAGAGGCACUCGCAUCUCUACCCCAGCAGCAGCAUCUUAGAGGCAGUGAGAACUCUAUCUUAGAAGACAGCCUUCAGCCCUGGGUUGAAAAGAGGAGUCUAGAACACCUUUCAAGUGGAAUAUUGGGACUGCAAGUUGCACAGCUCACUAUCCGCCUAGGCUGAUGUCCUUGGGUGUUCCUUGACCACAGAGGAGAGGACAGGAGUGGCUUCUCUUUAGGAAGCAGGGGUAAGUUUCCAGAGGAUUCCUUCCAACAUGCUGUUUCCCAUAAGUUCGCUUUCACAUGCUCCCUUAUUUCCCAAACUGAAACUGUGACAUUGUGCCAACUUGGCUGUAGGGAGCACAAAGCAGAAAACCAAGCAAAACCAACAGGGCAGAUGGUGAGAGCUGGGGGUCCCUAACACUGGGGACUUAGUGGUGAAAAUCCCAGAUCUUUCUCCACUGAACUAAGCUUGAGGUGUAUGUCUGCAUGUCAAAGAGGCUUAUCGAAAAUGGUGACUGGAAGAUCCUUCCUUUCUAGGCACUUAAAAUGUCUGAAUUUUGCUUCCUUAUCAGCAAAACAAGCAGAGGUAAAUGGAAAGUAAAUGUUAAGCUGCAUAAAGAGCCAACAGAAUUAAAUAUAGAUGAGUGACCUAAUUCUAGCAUCCUCACCCCUGACUUUCUACUUCAUUUCUUUUUGGUUUCCUUAUGAGGCUACCACUUUAUCUGCACAAGAAAGACUUUGGUUAAUGACUUUGGACUCCUUUGGGUCUUCUGACCUUGGAACUAGAUUUAUGUUCACAAAAGAGAGAGACCAAGAAGAAAAAAAAGGCAGGAAACUGGGAAUUGGAGUGUCCGUUGAGAAACAUACUUCUUUGUCAUUUUUGGAAGGCUCAUUGUUUAAGUUUGGAAGUCUAAGGCCAUUGGUGGAUUGCAUUACGUUUGCGGCAUGGCUUUGGGAUAAUAAGUGGAACCCACUAAUGAUGGGCUUUCCAAAUGACUCAGAUUUAUUAUAAAAUUAUUGGAUAUAACAAAAGAUUAUCCAACAUGAAACUAUCUAAUCUGAUUAAAUCAAACUUUUUAUUAAGAUAUACCACAACAUAGACACGUACACAUUCAUUUGGGAGAGAAGAGGCCACAGCACCCCAAUCUUUAUACAGAGUACUGUGAUGGCUUAUGUGGGUGUGGCUUGAAGUUCUGGAUGCUCUCUCGCUCAGAAGGCACCUGGACCAGUGCUGAGGAUGGGAUCUUGGAUGAGAGCCAGAGUUCCCAGUCCAAGACUGCCCCUUCAAGCACCAGGACAGUGGAAGCAAGUGUCGUGAAGCCAUGGAAGCUCAGGGCUCUUAUGCUCGGCAAACCCUCCUGGAUAUGACCAGCGUGCAUGCUGGCUCUACCACCCCCACCUAUCAGACUGCAGACUUUACAUUUACACAAAUCAGGCAAUCCUAAUGUGUUGACCCUGAUACUAUGCAGUGGCACUCACUGGGACAUUGGCAGCUCUACUGGAUUGAUACGAUAAAGUAUCAUGAGACUCAGAGUCAUAAUUGAACACAUACACCAUAUUGUGCAGAGGUCAUGCAUCAAACUGAGUCAAAAAAAUUAUUUUUUCACUACUUUCGUGUUGUUUUUGCCCUACAGUGGGUUGGUUGGUUUGCUUCUUUCUGACACUCACAUUUUAAAACAAUGAAAUUUUACAUGACAAUGCAAUUUCUGGUUUUGUGUGUAUGCAUGUGUUUUUUUAAACAGAAGAUAUAGGUUUCCUAGGCCCUCAUUAUCACACACCAAACAGGAGCAGACAUUUGCUUUCCAUUUGGCUCCUGUUUCUACCUGGCACAGUGUCCUGUGCCUGCAGGCAUGUCACUCUGCUACCUUGAUUUGGAAGCCUAGAUUCUCCUACAGUCUCAGGUCCAGACUGGUGAUGUCCAAGAUUCCAUUUAAGGAAGGACCUUCCCAGUGACCUUCUCUACCCUUUCCAGAUGGUAGAUCUGUGUCUGUGGCGGGACUUGGCAUACCAUGGAGAGACUGUGAAGAGAUCCCACAACUUCCUUAAUAUGAGGGCAGAAGUGCUAGAAAGCCCCAUGAGUAAAGGGGAAAUGUCUUAGUCCAUUUGUGUUUUAAACAAAAUACUUUAGACUGGGUAAUUUAUAAACAACAGAAAUGUAUUGCUUACAGUUCUGGAGGCGGGGAAGUCCAAGAUCAAAACACCAGCACAUUCAGUGCUUGGGAAGGCCCUAUUCCUCAUUGGUGGCCCCUUCUAAGUGUCCUCACAUGAUGGAAGGGCAAAGCAGCUCUCUGUGGCUCUUCAAUGAGGCACUAAUCUCAUUCAUGAGUACAGAGCCCUCGUGACCUAAUUACUUCCCAAAGGCCCUGCCUUCUAGUAUUAUCAGCUUGAUGAUUAGAUUUUACUGUAUGAAUUUUAGGGGGACACAACAUUCAGACAAUGGAAGGAGGGGAAUCCUCAGCUUUUCUUCUUUUUCUUUUUCUCUUUUUUUGAGAUGGAGUCUUGCUUUGUCACCCAGGCUGGAGUGCAAUGGUACGAUCUGGGUUCAAGCAAUUCUCCAGCCUCAGCCUCCUGAAUAGCUGAGAUUACAGGCACCUGCCACCACACCUUGCUAAUUUUUGUAUUGUUAGUAGAGACAGGAUUUUGUCAUAUUGACCAGGCUGGUGGCAAACUCCUGACUUCAGGUGAUCCUCCUGCCUCAGCCUCCCAAAGUGCUGAGAUUACACAUGUGAGCCACUGCAUCUGGCCCCCUCAGCUUUUCUAUCGCAAAAGCUUAUUGGUAAUUUUCUCCUCUAACUUCCUCAUUCAUAGAUGUGAAAACACAACCCAGAAAAGUUCCAUGGUUGUUCCAAAGUCCUACACCUAGUGAGCAGUAGAUCCAAGAUGAAGAUUUAGGUCUUCUGAUACUCAGCCCAGAUGAUUUCCCUGCUCCUUUCCCCUUGCCAGUGCGUUAUUCUGGGAUGAAGCCAUCACUCUGUCUGCCCUCCCAGCAGAGGCUUCUUCAUUUGUUUUCACUUUCUCCCUGCUGGUCAGUGGUCUUGAAUUUUACAAGUACUGCAAGUGUGAAUUGCCUUGUGUUACAUCUCUUGGUUGGAGUCUAUGGCAGUCAAUAUUUUCUCAGGAUGGUAUCUCUCAGCAAGACUCAAGCCAAUAAGUGGCAAGCAGGCAAUCAACAAGGACUUAUUAAUCCCCUGAUCUUUGUUCAGCACCACAGGCUUUCUGAAGAACUACUACAUUUUAUUCCUUCUGGAGCAAGUAACAGACACCCUUGUCAGAGUUGCUUAAGCAAAGGAAGAAUUUGUUAACUCCGGAAUACAUUAUCAAGUCAAGGGAAAGGCAGGGCCACCGCUGGGCCUUGGGACAACUAGAAGUAGAACUCCAACAAGAUCAGUAUUCUUCUCUGUUUAGAUCUCACAUCUGCUUUUUACUGUUUGUUGGGUUCAGUCUCCAUAUGGUAGAAAAAUGUCCACCAACGUUUCCUGAUGUAUCAUUUCUAUUUUGGCCAUGGGAGAGAAAACGACUUCCUCAUUCUGGGUCCUCCAAGCCUAUGGAAAUUCUCUGACUGGUCUCACCUAAAUCAGGUGCCUAUUCCUGAACCAAUCAACUAUGGGGGGGAUGGAAGCGGAGGAGAUACUCAGGUCAAUCAGCUGUGACCUGAGGUGGUCCCUCUUGUACUAAGAGAACAGCUUCCACCGUAACUGUGGAAGUGGAAUGGGUUGAAGGUGCAGAAGACUAUCUCAGAAAAAGAAAAGUAAAGAAGGGGGAGAGUCUUAGGAAGACUAAACACUGUAUCCAGUACAUCUGCAUAUAGGAUUUUAUAAUUGAAUAGGGAGUUAAGAAUUACAUAUAGAAACAGCAGUAAUAAAAGACUUGUUUUACUGAUCAUGAGAUGAAUCAGGGCUCCUUAUAGGGGCCUGCUGGGUUUCUCCACCCCAAUCAAAGCAUGAAAAUAAAGAAAGAUUUGAGUCCUUUCAAGGGAAAGUCUAUGUACCUAGCUUGCUCUGCCACCAGCAAUUAAGGAAGUGAGUGAGUAACCCACUAAGCAAGAAGCUUAAACAAUAGUCACUCAAAUAAGUUAGAGUCACAUGAUGUCUGCUUUCCUGGAGAAACAAAAGCUAACAUCUUACCAUAUGUUCUUGAGUUGUUUUCAGAAAUCUCGACCCCUCCACCAGAUGUAAAAUGUUGACUUCUAUCAUGUAGACUUCAGAAAAUUGUGAACUAAGUACUUAACUCCAACUACCAUUCUCUGUUCUAUCUUUUUUUUCCCCCUAAGGAGCCAGGAGAGAGUCACACCCAUAGGCCAAACCUUAACAUUCCUUUCUGCUGACCCCAAGUUUUUGGACAAAGCUUUGCUUCCUUAACCAAUUGCAAAUCAAAAAAGUCUACCUAUGACCUGUAAGCUCUCACAUCAAGAUGAAACUACCACGGCAAAACUAUAACUGAGACAGUGAAAGAGAUCUGACUUAACCAACUCCAUUUUGCUUCUAACCUACAAGGUGUCCUUUUUUAUUGCUGGGGACAGGCUGAACUAACUUUGGGAGGAAUUUAGUUUACAGUUUAUAGUUUAGAACAAAGACAAUAACAGCCCUUUCCAAAAACAAACCCCCUUCUUGCUUGGGGAGUAGACUGCCUUUGUAGGACUAACAAAGUAGCCAAAAGAUUAGAAAUUAUGGUUUAGCAGUCAUGCAGCUGAAGGCUACAAGAUUCUGACCCUUCCCAAAUUGCUCCUGGGGAUAACAUCACUAUGAUAAGGCUAAGAUCAGUGUUUGAGACAUUUUGCAGAUUUUUUGCUCAGUGGAUCAGCUGGUACCACCCAGAUUAAUAAACUAGUUUAUCUGAUCUUGUGCUACCCUCUGUACCCCACCCCCGCCUGGAACUGACUCAGUGCAGCUUCGAUUCCCUAUGAUUUCAUCUCAACCCAACCAGUCAGCAUUCCUGACUCACUGGCUGCACCCCAUCCACAAAUGUUCAGGAGACUGAUUUAAGUAAUCAUAAAAAUGUAGUGUCCUGUACAGCCAGCUCUACAUGAAUUACUCUUUCUCUAUUGCAAUUCUCCUGUCUUGAUAAAUUGGCUCUGUCAAGGCAGUGGGUAAGGUGAACCCUUUAGGUGGUUACAAAGAUACUCCCCUUUUUUAAACCAAACCAACGUAUAACCAAGGGGUAUCAAGUUACAAUUUCCCUGUAACUUCUCCUUUCUUGAAAUAUAGCCCUACCUUUAAAAACAAUUCCCUGUAAGUAACUGGGGAGUUUGUGUCAUAAUCAUCAGCUGCCUGAUUCUUCCUGCUUGACGCCCUGCAAUAAAUGCCCCACUUUCUCUUGCAGCAAAUCCUGGUGUCAUUGUUUGGCUUUUUCAGUGCACCAGGCAAGCAGACCCAAGUUCUAUUCAGUACUAAUUAUUAGAAAUAAAUGUGCAAAAUGGGCUGGUAUUAUCAAGAAUGACACCAUCUAGUGCUGGCUUUUUAAAAUUGAAAUAGUGGAUUAGAAGAAACUUAAACAUGAUUCUUUCUCCAGGAGUUUCAAUUGUACACAAAAUAAGGGGGAGUGUAUUAAAAGCAGCACAAAACACAGAAAUAUAGGGAAUGGUACAAAAUUUGUAUGAUGCUUAAAAUACAGGUACAAUUUUUAAAAUAAAAAAAAAAUUCAAGCUUUUUGGCCAAGCAUGGUGGCUCAUGCCUAUAAUGCUAUCACUUUGGGAGGCUGAGGUGGGUGGAUCACCUGAGGUCAGGAGUUUGAGACCAGCCUGGCCAACAUAGCAAAACCCUGUCUCUACAAAAAAUACAAAAAUUAGCCAGGAGUGGUGGCAUGCUCCUGUAGUCUCAUUUACUCAGGAGGGUGAGGCAGGAGGAUCCCUUGAACCCAGGAGGUGGAGGUUGCAGUUAGUUGAGAUUCCACCACUGCACUCCAGUCUGGGUGGCAGAGUGAGGCUCUGUUUUAACAACAAAAAAAGAAAAAUUCCAGCUUUUUGGCCUGGGACUUCAGUCUUCUUCUCAAUACACUCUAGUGCCCUAGUAAAACUGAUGGAGAAGUUUUAAAAGUUUGGAGGGUAAGUGGAAGGAAGUUCUUGAUAAUUGUUAUCAAGAAGCUGUGUGGUUUUAGAAUACUUUGCUCCUCUGAGCUAAAAGAACUUGAGGUUGGUGAGGAUGAAUGAUACAGCCUGUACAAGGGGAUUCCCGAACUCUCUCUGGCAAUAACAUUCUGUGUAGGUUUUGUUUUGUUUACUUUGGAAAGCAGUAUAUAAGCAAUAGAGCUGCAAACUAGAUGAGGUUGAAUUAGUUUAUAGUGCUUUUACCUCAGUUCCUGUAUCUAAAGACUGUCCUUGUGAUUAGCAUAAUACCUUCAGUACUUUCUAGGAAAAUGCUGCUUAAGUAAUGCAAAUGAGUAAAGCUGUUUUGCUAAUUAGGGGGACUAGACUGAAGAAUGUCAGGCCUCAAAUAGGACAAGAGAAUAAAGAGAGAGUGGAAGUAGUUGAAAUGAGGUCAGUGAAGGUGGGAGGCCCUUGGGUAGCUGUUGGGUAGCUGCCUGAGGGGUAGUUGAGCCUACAAAGUAGGUUUGGAAACAUGAAGGUGAUCUUCUCCCUGGGAUAGCUGGCAGUACUGACUUUGCACUAGGCUUUUCACAUCUAUUCCAAUGGAGGCCACACUCUCCUUAUGUAGGACACAUCUUCCCACUUGUGUUCUAAACACCUCCCUUUCUCCCUUGUCUUGGAUCAGUUGACUUCUAGUAAAUAUCACUUAUCUUGUAUAUUCCUGACCUCUGUGUCCUGGUUGGUAUCUUCCAUCAAUAUUGUAUUAGCUUGUCUUCACACUGCUGAUAAAGACAUACCCGAGACUGGUUUACAAAUUUACAAAAGAAAGAGCAAUUUACAAAAGGAGAUUUAUUGGACUUAUAGUUCCACAUGGCUGGGGAGGCCUCACAAUCAUGGUAGCAGGCAAGGAGGUGCAAGUCACAUCUUACAUGGAUGGCAGCAGGCAAAGAGAGAGCUUGUGCAGGGAAACCCAUUUGUAAAACCAUCAGAUCUCAUGAGACCCAUUCACUAUCAUGAGAACAGCACAAGAAAGACCUGCUUCCAUCAUUCAAUGAUCUUCCUUUCAGUCCCUCUCAGAAUACAUGGGAAUUAUGGGAGCUACAAGAUGAGAUUUGGGUGGGGACACAGACUCAAACCAUAUCAAAUAUUAAAGAUGCUAAGUCCCUUCCCAUAUUAAACACCAGACAAUAACACCACUGACUUGAUGUCAGCCCCUCAGUAGUGGAAUUCUAUUUCCUGCCAUUUACAGCCAAGCUUCUUGAAGUAUCCAUACUCUGUUAUCACUUCCUUACCUCCCAUUCAGGGACCAACACAGCAAUUAUUUGCCUAUUUCCAUUAUUGUAUGGAAAUUCCUCUCUAUGAGGUUACUAAAGACAUAUUUGUUCCCAGGUCCAGUGGAUAUGUCUUCACCUUUGAUCUCACUUGACCUCUGAGAAGCAUUUAACUCCUUGAAUCUUCUAGAAAUUCUCUUCUGGUCUCCAUGGCAUCCUAUUCUUCUGGCAUUUGGUCCUCCUAAGUCUGUCUCUUUUUGCAACCUUUUUCUUUUUCUCAUCUCUGUUCUUUCUCCUAUGUCAGGGAGAAAAAACUUUUUCUUAUACUCUCUUAGAUUCAGUAUCUGGGCCCAGUGAAUUAAACUAAUAAGGGAGGGAUUAACAGAAGGAAAGGUACAAUUUUUAUUUAAUAUUUACAUGCCCAGGAGUUUACAGAAAAGAAGCAAAACUCAAAAAAGCAGUUACAUUCAGGGGCUUAUAUACCAUUUUAUCAAAAGUAAGGAGACUUGGGUUUCAAAGGAUGAUAAAUUAUAGAAACAUGACUAAGAAAUAUAUGGGGAAAUUAAUGGAAAAUAAAGAUUGUUUUAGUAAGGUCUAGUUAUACACAUUUGUUUUGGUGUUGACUCUGAAACUCCAGUGAUAAGUAUGCCCUUGUCAUCCUGGCAUGAAGGGGCACCUUCCCCAAUGGGAAAUGUAUUCCCUGUUUUUAGGCUGAUAAGGGGAGGGCAGAAAACUUCCCUGCAUCUGUUGAUUCUCAGUUGCCUUCAGCUCAAAAUAAUCUUUGUGCAAAAGUGGCCUAUCUUGAGGUGGCACAUUCUGAUUCCCUUUACCUGCAUUAUCAGUUUUUCUCAAUAUUCAACAAUUCCAGAUAACACACAACUCAACUACUAUUUCUCUCAACUUAAAAGAAAUCCUCUCUUGACCCCUGUCCCCAAUUUGGCUUCCCACCAUUUCUCUCUUCCAUUUACAGAAGACUCCUGGCAAGAAUUAUCUACAAUGCUCAGCUUCUCUUCUCACUUCUCUCUUGAGCUCUCUCUAGUCAUGCCUUUGCUCCUGAUUCCCCACCAAAAUAGCACAUAUCAGACUACAAGUUGGAUAUGCUAAAUGCUUCUCAAACUUAAUUUAUCCAAAACUGAACUCUCCUGUCCCACACUUGCUCUAGCCACCAUCUUUCCCAAUUCAGGGAUAGCAAUCCCAGUCUUAAUUUGUUCAAGCCAUCACCUUGACAUCUUUAUUCUUUCUUUCAUACCCCACAUUUAGACUCCUCAUAUUCUGUUGGCUGUGCUAUUGACUGAAUGUUAUGUCUCCCCGAUCCCACCCAGAUGUCUAUGUUGAAGCCCAAUCUUCAAUGUGAAGGUGGGGACUAUGGGAGAUAAGAAGGUUUAGAUGAGGUUGCGAGGGUGGAGCCCCCAGUGUAGGAUUGAUGUCUCUCUCUCUCAGUUAGUCUCUGUGUAGAGACUUCAAUCCUACCUUUUCCCUUGGCACUGCCCUAGUAGAGUAUCUCUCUAUGGGCUCUGCCUCUACCGCUGGCUUUGGCUUGGGCACCCAGGCUUCCCAUACAUCCUUUGAAAUCUAGGUGGAAGCCACCAAGCCUCCUUUGCUCUUGCAUUCUGUGUACCUACAGGCUUAACACCAUAUGGAAGCCUCCAAGGCUUAUGAUUUGUGCCCUCUGGAGCAGUGGCCUGAGCUAUGCCUAGAGUCUUUUGAGCUGUGGCAGAGCCAGAGUAGCCAGGAUGUUGGGAUCAGUGUACUGAGGUUGUACAGGGGAUCAGGGUCUUGGGCCUAGCCCACCAAACCAUUAUUUCCUCCAAGGCCUCUGGGUCUGUAAUGGGAGGAGCUGCUUCAGUGAUUUCUGAAAUGGCUUCAGGGUCUUUUCCCCAUCAUCUUGGAUAUUAGCACCUGGUUCCCUUUUUGUCAUAUGAAUCUCUCUAGUCAGUGGUUGUGCUACAGCUCUUCUCUCCUGAAAUGCUUUCUCCUUCUCUACCACAUGGCCAGGUAGUAAAUUUCUUAAGUGGUUAUCCUCUGCUUCCCUUUUAAUUAUAAAUUCUAACUUUAAGUCAUUUCUUCACUCCUAUAUCUGAUCCUAGGUUGUUAGAAGCAGCCUGCCAGCUCUUGAAUGCUUUUCUGCUUUAUUCUGUCAGAUAUCCACGGUCAUCAGUCUUAAGUUCAACCUUCCAUAAAUUCCUAGGGCAUGAACACAAUGUAGCCGAGUUCCUUGGUAAAGUACAGCAGUGGUGAUGUUUGCUCAAGUUCCCUGUAAGUUUCUCAUUUCCAUCUGAGACCUCAUCAGCCCAGCCUUUAAUGUCCAUAUUUCCAUCAACAUUUUGGUCACAACCACUUAACUAGUCUCUAGGAAACUCCAAACGUUCCCUUAUCUUCCUGUCUUCUUUUGAGUCCUCCAAACUCUUCCAACCUCUGCCCAUUACCCAGUUCUAAAGCUGCCUCCACAUUUUCAGGUACUUUUAUAGUAAUGCCCCAUUCUUUGGUACCAAUUUUAUGUGUUAGUCUGUUUUGCAUUGCUGUAAAUGAAUAUCUGAGACUGAAUGAUUUAUCAAGAUAAUAGGUUUAUUUGGCUCAUAGUUCUAUAGGCUGUACAAACAUAACAGUAGCUUCUACUCAGCUUUUGAUAUGGCCUUAGGAAGAUUUUACUCAUGGCAGAAAAUGAAGGUGGAACAAGUGUGUCACACGUCAUGUGAUGAAGCAAGAAAAAGAAGAGGAGAUGCUAGUUUCUUUAAACGGCUAUCACUCUCAUGAACUAACAGAAUGAGGACACACUCAUUACCUCAAAGGCACAAAGCCAGUCAUGAGGGAUCCACUACCAUAACCCAAACCCUUCCUCUUAGACCCACCUCCAAUAUUGGGGAUCACAUUUCAACAUGAAAUCUUGAUGGGAAAAAUAUGCAAACCAUGUCACUUUAUAUACUCAAAUUAAUUUUCUUAUAAGGAAUUUCAUGUCACUGUUAUUAAUGGAAAAAAAAAGCAGUACAAUUUGCUAUACAGGAAAGGUAUGGCUCAACACAUUUACAAUAAAUACAUAGCCGUUAGAUAAAAGCAUACUUCUAUAUAAUCUAAACUCAAUUUAGCACCAAUGGUAUUGAAAUGACAUUUUGGGAAACAUUUCCAUAGAUGCCCAUAUUUCUUGGGGUUCUGCCCUAGAUCGUCUUUUCAUAUGCUUCCCAUGGGCAAACUCAUCAACAGCAAAUAACCUCAAUUUCUUCAUUGUUCCAACAACAAUUCUCUGAUGACAACCGGUGUCUUGCAAUUUAAUUCAAUUCUGACACUACCCAGAGUUAGCACAGAUCCCACGAAUUAAGAACAACAUCCUUCACAAGAUUGCCCCCACUUUAGAAACUAAACAUCAGUCUCAGUCAGCCGUGACUGACUAGCUACAAAUUCAGGGGUUUCUAUGACUCCCUCUGGUUCAGUAAUUUGCUAGAACAAGUCACAAACUCUCUGAAAGUGCUAUUCUUAUCAUUACAGUUUUAUUAUAAAGGAUACAGCCUAGGAACAGCCAAACAGAAGAUGCACAUACGACAAGAUUGUGAGAGGGGUAAGGAUCCUGAGCUUCUCUGCCCUCUCCUCUAGGAAUCCAGGUGUAUUUGUCUCCCAGCACAUCAGUUGUUCACCAACCAGGAAGCUCCUUUGAGCCUUGGUUUCCAGAGUUUUCACUGGGGCUUCAUCAGAUUGAUCAGAUUGUUGAUGACUGAUUAAAUCAUGAUUGAUUAAAUUACUGGCCAUGUUGUUGAGCUCAAUCUCUAACCUUAUUUCUCUCACUUGAUGCUGGGCUGGCAGCCUAAAGUUCUAACCCUCUAAUCACGUGAUUGGUCUUUCUGGUGACCAGCCCCCAUCCUAAACUAGGAACCCACCAUGAGUCAUCCCAUUAGCAUAGCAAAGAUAUUGUUGUUACUCAAGGUUUUAAAAUUUUUGUGCCGGGAACUGGUACAAAGACCAGAUAUAUUCUUUAUUAUAUCACAUAUAUAUAUGUGUGAAUCACACACACACACACAUAUGAAUCUCAAAUUUAUAUCUCAACUCCUACCUCUCAUCUGAAAUUGAGACUUUCAGAUACAACUGCCACCUGGGUGUCUUUUUCAGGAGGUACCACUUGUAUCUCCAAGCCAUCAAUAUUCAUAAAUAAAUCCCCAUCACCACCCCAUCACCCUAACCAACACAUACACUCUCUUUCUCCUGUAUUUCUUCUUAGUAAAUGUAAUCGUAACACCAUUCAACCGGCUACCUGAAUCUGAACCUGUGUUUUACCCUUGUUUUUUCUUACUCACAUACAGUUUUCUUUUCUGUUUUUUUUUGGAAUGUUCCUCUUGCUUCCCCUUCUCUUUCUAUUUAUUUUGUUUUGAUCUUAGCUUAGAAGUCAUGGUUUCCAGAAAGCCUUUGCUGUUCUCCCAGGACUGGUCAGGUGCUCCUGCACUUCCAUAAUAAUGGAUGUGAUAAUUUAUUGUUUGUCUCUUUUGCCCAGUAUCUUGGUGAGGGCAGUAAUUGAGUCUAUCUUACUCGCUCUCACAUCCUUGUACCUGGCACAUAGUUGACACUCAAAAAUAUAUACCCAACAAAUGGAUAACAUGAUACAAAGUUGGAAUAUUUCAAAAUAAGACUUUUCUUGUAGAUAACUACUUUCUAUAGCAGUAAUUUAUGAACUUCCCAGUAGAGGUUGCCUUGGUAUCAUCUUCUUUUGAGAAUUAAGUAAUUUGUGUUUGUUCAUAAUAACAGGCUUCUAAGUAUAUUUAUUCCUACCUUCAUUCUUUGGAUAUUUAUUGAAUAUCUACUAAAGUGAGAAGCAGUGUCCUAGUCCUUAGGGCUGGAAAUGAGUGAAAACAUAGUCACACAGUCUACUGAAGAAUUACAUCUUUAUAUAAGCACAAUUGUAAUAAAAUAUCAUGGGUCCUAUAAAAAAUGUAUGAGCAACAUACUGCAGGAAAUAUUCAGUGUGAUUAUAUUGAAUUAUAGUUUUCAACUCAUUAUUCCUUUCCAUAAAGGAUUAUACACUCACACCCUCUGCCACGUACUUUCUAGUGCCUGUCACAAUAGUAACCAGAAUAUACAUGCCUGCCCCCACUUACUUACUCGGGCUAGGCUAUGUGACUUGUAUUGGCCAAUGAAUAUAGGCAGACGUAAAAUGAAAAUGCACCACUUCUGAGCAGACACUUUAAGAGACAGCAAGUUUCUGUCAGACAUCUCAAACUUUUGACCUUGGGUGUAAGGCAUAUGUUCCAGGUAACCAUUACUCUUUCAGAGUCCUGGAAUAAAGACAUAUAAAGCAGGCAUAAAUCCAAAUCACAGAUUGCCAUCUAACCUAGCCCAGCUGAGCAAAGCCAAUUCACAGACAACCUAUAUCCAUCCCUAUCAACAUUGAUUUGAUUUUUUUUUGUUUUGUUAGCUAUUGAGGUUUGGGAGGAGGGUUGUUGCUACAUAGAAUUAUUACAGCAGAAAUCUGCUAAUACACUGAGUAGCUAUCUAUCUACUAUGGGAGAGUAUGGGAUGUAAGGAGAAGUCUACAUGGUAUUUCUAUGUAUUUCCUAUGUAUUUCCUGCUAUGCUAUUUCUCAGGACACAAGGCCCCCAGUUCUCUGAUGGUUGUAGAUGUUUAGUUAACAUAAAUAAAAAAGCCAAUAGAAUGAGGCCAGUGGUUUGUUCCAUAUGAUGCGAAACUUAAAAAUUCAGAUGUAGUAAGAAAUAAACACAGGUCUUCUUAAAAUAUCUGACCUAGCUGAGCACAGAGGCUCGUGCCUAUAAUCCUAGCACUUUGGGUGCCCGAAUAUGGGUGGAUCAUAUGAGGCCAGGAGUUCAAGACCAGCUUGGGCAACAUAGUGAGACCUCAUCUCUACAAGAAAAAUUUGUUUUUUUAAUUAGCUGGAACUAGUGGCUUGCACCUGUAGUCCCAGCUACUCAGGAGGCUCAGGUGGGAGGAUCACUAGAGCCCAGCAGUUCAAAGCUGCAGUGAGCUAUGAUGGUGCCACUACACUCCAGCCUGGAUGACAGGGUGAGACUUUGUCUAAAAAAAUAAAGAUAAACCUGGCCUAUUUCUAGCUGAAAAAGCUACCUUAGAUUUACGGGUAUUUCUCCAACAGCUGAUUUUCAGAAUGCAAGCUAGACAUAGUGGCAUUGACCAAUUAAGGCAUACAACUUUAACUGUGCAGAACGUUAGCAUUCUGAUACAACCACUGUAUCAUUGUCAUCACUUAAAUAAGAAAAAUUUGUUUUUCAAAGCAAAGAAACACACUGCUACUUGUAAGGGUGAUGGUUUCUCAGUGUGAGUUUACUUUUGUUGACCAUUUGUAGUUUAAACUGUGCUAUGACUUAUUUUCAUUUUGCACUAACGAUGAGCAGCAAAAGUAAUAAAACUGCAUAAAAUAAACUCUCCAACUCCUAAACUGUUUUUUUUCCUUUUCAAUCAUUUUUUAAUUUGUUUUAAAUGGGAAGUGGUUGAGCACAGUGAUUAGGAAAAACCACUAUGAAUUAGACUUGUUUGAAUUAGACUUUGAACCUAGGCACCAUCAAGAAUAGUGUAAAAAUGACCUAAGCACUCAACCUGUUUCUUCAUUUGUAAAAUAAGAAUCAUAAUGGUGCUUAUCUUUAGGGCUAUGAAAUAAAGUUAACCUUGUGAGGCCUCAGCACAGUGUCUAACACAGAAUAAGCAGUCAAUAAAUGACAGAAAUUAUUACAGGAUAGAUUUUGUUAGUGCAACUUUUCUUAGGAAAGCAGCUGUUUAUUAUAGAAAGAUGAGCCAUGUAGUGGCGUUGCUUUGACUUUUACUAUUGCAAAAAAAACCUUAGGACCCAAAUUAUGAUUAAUUUAUAUGCAAUGUUUAUGAAUAGCUAAGCUUUUUCUACUUUGGUUCUGUGAGAGUAAUAAGGGUCAAAGACAGAAAAGUUGAACUCACCACAAAAUGAACACUUCCUAAACCUUAAUUUGGCUAAGAUAAAAUAGACUGGACUCUCUGGUAAUAAACUGUGGGCAAGUCUCCAGGCAAACAAGUUGUGCACUUGCAUUCUUCCACGCAUGCGAUGCUGGAGUGACAGCAGCUGUGCUGUGGAGUGGCCAUGGUCAAAUGUUCCCCAGUGAAUUUGCCAGAAAGAUAAGAACAUCCAGCAGCCUGUGUGUUGCCUGAAUAGCAGGUCACCUCAUUGUCAGAUCUCCUCAUUCCUGAUUGCAGAGUAUACUAGUGUGAACAGCCUUGGGUUUAUGGCAAAUGUGGUGGCCAAGCAAAGUUAACCCUCCUUGGAAACUGCAAAUUGAUAUUGGUAAUAAUGGUUCUGAUUUACAAGAAAUAAUUUGUUAUAAGACAUAUUUGGCUGUUUACCUUGAAAGAUCCUGCAAAGUGUGUGUCUGUGUGCAUGUGCAUGGGUGCAUAGCCAGAUAACUUAUUUAAAAUGCACAAGCAAUUAGAACUUCUAAAUAUAUGAAUCAGCCAUUUUAAAUCUAUCUCAAAUGCAUCCCCUGGAGAAAUAUAAUUUUUCCCACUUCCAGGCAUUCUGUUUCCUAGUCCUUUUACUUUCACUCAGACAUUUCAGAAAGCACUGGACUCAGAGGUUAAGCUAGGGGAAUUUACAAAUUUAUUUUUUGUAAUACAGAGCUUGAAACUUGCUCCCAUUCAAAAAAGAUAUAUACAGUCUGAAGUUCACUCAGAAAGAAGCCAUUAGUGUAAUGUGUAAUCCUAUAGCAAAGAUCAGUAUGACUCACUUGAAGCAUUAAGGAUGGCUCACACAAUAAAAAAAUCCACUUUAUUUUUUAGAAAGAAAAUGUAAGAUAUUUUGACUCUCUGAGAAAAAAAAGGAUAGGGAAUAUAUGCCAUUAUUUAAUACAUAAAAUAAAUUUUAAAAAUAUACCUAGAAAGCAUACAUUGUAGAAGGGAAGUGGGAGAGAGAGUAAAGAGAAUAAAAGAGGAGAAAUAGAAAAGGAAAGAAAGAGGCAUAGGAAGAAAGAGUGAACAUAAAAGUAUGGGCUGGAUACAGAAAAAUGCAUAAACAUGUAUUAGACGUUUUCAGAGGGGUGAAUUGCUGUCUAUUUCUCCUGUUACACUUUCUAACUCUAGGCCCAAAUCAGGACAUUUAGUUUUGGACACAUGCCCUUCGGUCUGAUGAAAUUUAUCUAUGCUUCUUUAUAUUAUUUUUAGUAGUUACUUAUAUAGAGAUUAGUAUAAUAUUUGUUCUUUAAUUUGUUACAGUCCACCUUAAAUUAUUAUCAUGCCAAUCCAUGAACAAUGUUAGAACCUUGCAACAGUACAAUGGCAUUUACCCACCCCCUCCACCUUUUGUGCUAUCUGUCAUAUGUUUUACUUGUAAUAUAUCAUAAACCAGAGAACAUAUUCUUACCUAGGUUUUAAAUAGCCAAUAGUCUUAUAAAGAAAAUUUUUAGAAUUUUCUUUUAUAUUUAUAUACAUUUUUUUCC